UGCUGUAGAGGGUGGUGGGCAGGACACAGCAUGGGGAGGUCACUCUGGAGCAGGAAGGCGGGAGGCUGUGAGGUGCAGCAGGAAGCAGAAGGAGCUCUGCCCCUGGGUUUCUCUCUUCCGUGGAGUGGGAGGUGAGGUGUCUAUGGAGGACAAGCGGAGGAGGCAAUGGAGGAGAGACCCAGAGAGGCAAGGGGCAGGGCAUCCCGGCCACGUGGAGGUCAGAGUCCACCACUGCCACUGUAGAAUAAGGGAGAGGGGGCUGCGGAUCCCUUUGGCAGUGAGCAGGCAGGGGAAGAGGCAGGAGGGCCAAGGCUGGUGAGUCAAGGAGAGAGGGCUCAGGAGCCAGGUCUGCAUUCGGGAGAAGGGGUUCUGGGGCACUGGACUGCACCCUCCAGACGUGCCUGGAGAGAUGGCCCAGGGAAGGGAAGCCACAGGAAGGAAGAGACGUCCAGGACAUUCCACAAGGCCUGGGUUGGCUCCCCAGGGGCGAGGCUGAAGGGACUGGCACCCGCUGGAUCAACCCUCCUCAGCACACAAGGGGUCUCUGUCCAUAGGUGGCCAGCUCCAUUGCUCUGGGCUGAAGGUGAAAAGUAUCAUGGUGGAAAGAUGUGCUGGAGGACAGCAGCUUAGGACGUGGCCACCAGGAAGCAGAGAGAGAUGCACCUCCUCACAGACAAUGUAUAUAUCCCGAAGCCACUGUCCCACCUCCUCCAGCCCCAACGCCUCCAAUCACCACUCAAUUAAUCCCAUCAGGUGAUCAAUCCACUGAUUGGUUUAAAGCUCUCGUAACCUGAUCAUCUCACUCUAAAUCCUCUUGCAUUGUCUCACACAUGGGCUUUUGGGGGGCUACUGUUAGGGUUUGUAAACAAGUCAAGAUGGUGCCUGGCAUUUUGCCAGGGGGAGUGGUUUGUGAGGUGGCGCCAGCGAGCCAUUAAGUGUGGAGAUUCCUUAUUGGUUCACUGCUGUAUCUAGUUUAUGCUAAUUAAGAUAAGCUGUGUGGAAUGUAUAUAUACCCCUCCUGUCCUACAAUAAAUGGCUCCCACUCCUGCUAUAUCAAUCUACACAAGUUGCUUGUUUGUCACUCCCGCCCCCCCACACUCGGGGGUAAGUGACGAAAAAAAGCUGCCCGUCCAUAGAUAGGACGGGAGCAAAUCUGCUCGUCCCUAGGCAGAUAGGGCGAGAGGAAAAAUGGCCAUUUUGAGAAAAUGGAAUGGAUUGAUGCAGUAUGUUUGUGUCUUGUUUUGUCUUGAAAUGUUGUAUUGUCUUUGUGACGAAAAUAUGGAAGGGGUGUUAAGUAAAUUGAUAAGGGAAGGAGGCACCCCAGUGGAACCAAGAAUAGUUAGGGCACGUGUUGAUGGAAGCCCAGGAACUCUAGUCAGAAAGAAAAAGAAAGUUCAGAAGAAGAAGGAUUAUCAGGAAAAAAGUUGCAGCAAAAGGCUAUUACUGAAUACUUUUUGUUACCGGAGGGUGCGUGAAUCGGCGCGGCGGCUGCCCGUGUGCGAGCCGGUCAUGGCGCAGCAAGGACUUUCCAAGCGGUGGCAGCCGGCUCUUCCCCGCCCCCCACCCGGGGAGCGGGAUGCCACUGCGAGAGCCCAAAUCCAAACCUGACCCGGAGGCACAGUCUCGCAGGCUCUUGCUCCCUGUGCCCAAAGGCAGUUUGAGUCGGGAACACUCCCCAGACUCUCCCCGGGGCCAUCUGGGGCUGCCCUGGACGCUGCAGGCGGAAGCGGCCCUUGUCCCUGAAGUUUGAUCAUUUCCAAGGCCAAUAACUACAAUGGUUCUCCCACACCUGGAAGCUAAUGAGUAAUGAGCACUAUUAAGGCUUAUUUCAAAUGUAAAAAACCUUGAGAUAAUGACUAAAUUGUUCAAAAGGUUGUUUUCUUAGUGAAAUACUACAGGAUUUUCUUUAGCAUCAUUGCCGGAGUUCCUGCCUUUGUACCAGUGCCAGUGAAGACGAAGGUGGAAGAAUUUCCAGUGUUGCUGAGAACCGGACGAAACUUCGGAUCAAGCUAGCUGCCUGCAGAACUUACCUGGACUGUGAUUUACCUGGACUGUGAGUUAAUCUAUUGAGACACUGCUUUACCUGGACUGAGACAACAAACUAUAAUCUACAACAAAUUGUAACUGUAUCUUUGCUAAUGGUGUCAUUGCUGGUAUAAUUUUUCCAAGGACUUCUUGCAUGGAGCCAUCAAUUGGCUUGGUAUUGUGGCAUUUUGUAUCCUCUCCUUCUGCUUGUAGCAGAUUAUUUAUGGUGUUUGGGUAAAAACCACUAUGGUCGUUAUUUAAAUUAAACAAAAGGGGGAAAUGUUAGGGUCUGUAAACAAGUCAAGAUGGAGCCUGGCAUUUUGCCAGGGGGAGUGGUUUGUGAGGUGGCGCCAUCGAGCCAUUAAGUGUGUAGAUUCCUUAUUGGUUGACUGCUGUCUCUAGUUUAUGUUAAUUAGAUAAGCUGUGUGGAAUGUAUAUAUACCCCUCCUGUCCUACAAUAAAUGGCUCCCACUCCUGCUGU